CCUGAGUAAAGCUCUAAGAACAAUAUGAUCUUUCUCAAAAUUUUCUGUAGUUUUCAUCACAGAUCACAUCAAAGAAAAUGAAAAUAUGGGCCACUUUUCGUUAUCCAUCAUCUUGGCCCAUAGGCAUGACCAUUUGUAGGUUGGGUACGAGUGACGCACCAUCUUAGGAAUCGUUUUGUUUAAAAUACUGGAAUUUCCCAUACGUUGCAUUAGUUUCGUUUUGGCUGCCUGGAGAGAUAUUGACAAGCAGUGCUGAUUACAUGGCAUUCUGCAGUCACCAAUAAUGUCAUAUCCUUAUACCGGUAGUAGCUAUCCCUUGAGAUACAUUCCUGUAAGUACAGAUCUUGGUAACCGUUAUGGCAAUACAAUGAGUACCAGUAGUACACUGGGUACCGGACUCACAUCUACAGGAGCCAGUGGUUACAGUGGAGAUAGGAGAUGGACGAGGGAGUCUGGUACAACCUCAAAUUUGGCCACAAAGCUCGGAGAACUAGAAAUACAUGGUUCUCGAGAAAACUCUAAUCUUCCAAUCACAGACCCUAGUAGAAAUUUUUCAUCCUCAUUCUACUCCUCAUCCAACCAUGAACAAGAUAAGCUUGUCAAUGAUAUGUUUACAUCAAAACGGUCACCAGCACCCUCCCCCUCACCUUCAAAUUUGCGACAAGAGGAAGGAGAUAAACCAGAACCAGUUGAUCCCAGGUCCUCACUGAGGAAACUAUUGGACUGUGUCAAAGACUUGCAAGAUCUUGAUGUUGAAAAAUGUUUACGUGACUAUAAAAUAAUAAAGGAAGCCAGUGAUCCAAUGGGUCUCACAAAAGAAGAGGAAUAUGCCAAAUCGAAUAAAUCAUUACCCAGGAUAGAAAGCCAUGACAAUGAGAAAGAUAACCUCAGAAGGAAAGUUAGUGAGCUUCAAGCAAAAGUAUCUGCUUUGGAAAAUCAAGAUGGGACUAGUAAGCAAGAGGUUGAAAGAGUAAAAAAAGAAUAUAGAGAGAAAAAAGAUGCUUUGUUAUUAAAGUGGAGAGAAGUAUUGGAAAAAAAAGAAGCAGAGGCUCUUGAAAAGGAAACAAACUUUCAAGAGCAGAUUGAUGAUCUGAAGAGGCAAUUGAAAUCAAAAGAAGCCUAUAUAGAAGAAAUAAGAAAGGCUUUAAGCGAACUUCGUGUUGAAAAAGACCAAGUAGAAAAGGAAAAAACUGAGGCCUUAACCCGACUAAGUAAGGAAAUGAGCUCAAAAUUAAAUGACAAAAACCCCAACAUCACAGACCUUAGUGAUUCCAACCGCCCAACAAAGAUUGCAGAGAAGUACAACGAACUAUACGACAAUGAGUGGACGGAUGCUCUAGAAGAGCUGACAGAAGAACGCUACCUAGAGGAAGUUGCUAUUUCAGAAUUACUGGCUUGUGUACAAGCAGCCUAUUCCUUCUGUCAAAAGGCAGCAUCAAACCAGAUUGAAAACUUGAGAAGAGCAUUGACUAAUCCAGGUUUGUCGCUUGGAAGCCCUGGUUCAAGUGCUGCACAAUCAGUAAAUUCUGAAGCAGAGAAAAUGCUGGAAGAAGUUAGAAAAUCACAAAAGAUAUCUGGAGAUGUUCUUUUGAAGGAAUUUGAACGUGAAAGAAGUUUUAAAGGGUUAUAUAAAACAGCCAUUCCACUUUUCACUGUUAAAUGCCUAGAGCUGUGCUGGUUGAUGAACAUGCACAAUCCUUCUGUUGCCCUCGGUCUUCCUCCAGCCAAAGAUUCACCAUUUGAUGGCACUUUUUACAAAGAGUAUACCAGAACAGGGACCACUGUUGAUUUUGUAGUAUGGCUUCCACUUUUGCUACAUGAAAGCGGUCCCCUUUUGCAGAAAGGGGUUCUUCAGCCCAAACAAUCCAUGGCCAGGUUGGUCAUCUUCAUGUUAGGGGUCAAACAACACAAGCAUCAUCUGUCCAUGGGACAGGCCAAGAGAGAGGAACAGACAAGUAUUUGUAUGGGAACCCAUAUCAGCCAACCGUCUCCAAUUAUCAACAGAAUACAGCAUCCCAAUCACCAAAAAGUCAGCUGGCUGACCAAAGAACACAGUUCCAACCUAUUGGAGGGACAAGUCAUGAAAUAGGAACAGCUAAAUAUCUGUAUGGAGACUCAAAUCAAUCAACAGCCUCAUCAAAUCAACAAAAUGUAGCUGUCCCAAGAUCGAAUAUUGGUAACACAGACAGACAUGAUAAAAGUUCAGCAACAACAAGGUCUGGAUCUGCAUCCAAGACUUCAAAGAGAUCUAUUUAUGAUUAUAAUAUGCCCUAUAAAAUAGAACAUAAUGGAAAACUGUUUGUGAGAUUCCAAGACAAGGUUUAUACUAAAUCUCAGUGGGAAGAAAUGGAGAGAAAUUUCUACUCUGGAUCCUCAGAAGCUUGAAGAAUAUAUUUUUUAACAUAUGUAUACUGUGAUAGAUGUUCAUAGAAGUAGAUUACUAGUACAAGUAUUAUUCACUAAAAAUGUAUUUAUUUUAAUAUAUUUUUCAUUUUCCAGUGUCUUUGCCUGUGAUAACACUGCAUAUCGAUUUUGUACUAUAAAACCUAUAACCUCAAAUGACGUAUAAUUGAGGCACCAGCGGGGUUUGCUUAUUUGCUUAAUUAUAUUUGAAUAUUUAAUUGUACAAUGACUUAAAAUUAUAUAAAUAUAAGUAAUAAGGAAUCGUUCUUUGAAUAUUAUGAGGUGAUAAUUUCGGUCGGGGCAUGAUCAAAUCUAUCAUAA
rnacentral:sRNA from 1 species